GGAUAACCGUAGUAAUUCUAGAGCUAAUACAUGUAUAAAGUCUUGUAGACUGCAUUUAUUAGAAUGAAAACCAUAGGUUUCGGCCUAUUCGUGAGUAAUAAUAACUAAUCAUAUCGUAUGCUUAUGUAACGAUGUGUCUUUCAAGUUUCUGCCCUAUCAGCUUUCGAUGGUAGUGUAUUGGACUACCAUGGCAGUAACGGGUAACGAAGA
rnacentral:rRNA from 1 species